AGCAAGGAGGCUGCUGGAGCAGGGAGCUGCCCCCAUGAGGUGUUAUUCUAGGUGUUAAUGGAGCUGUUUCCUCCUGCUCUGGUUGUGGGAUCAGAAGCCUGUCCCUCCCAAGCAACCCCCUUGUGUUGCUCCUCCAAAAGCCCCCAUGUGAAUUCUGGUGCUCCCCUUGAACUCAUGUCCCCACCAGCAGCUCCUUACAGAGCCCUGCCCAAGCAGCUUUGGAGAAACACCACCAAAACGCACCGUCAGUGUCCUAAAAAGUUUAUUGCUGCCCUCUCAGUACAGGCGCUGGGGCUUCCCCAUGGUGCUCUUGAUGUACAGGGCACGCACGUUCUGCCAGUUCUUCUUCAGCAAGGACACCAGGAAGUUGAUGGCCAGGUGGAUGUUGUAGACGAGUUCGUCCUCAGUCAUCUUCACGUGACCCACGGCCACGGCCAGACAGAGCACCUGGGGACAGCACAGUGGGGUCACGCACAUGCUGAGGGGCACAGCAAGAACCCAAGGCCCUGAGGUACCAGAUCCCCGCCUGCUCUGCCAGCUGGACAGGAUUUCCCCAGCUCAUCCAGGGUUAGGAGUGUAACGCGCUGUGAGCAGGUGGGGAGCAGGCUAAAACCUCUCCUCUACCUCUGAUCCCGUGCCCCCCUCGCCAGGCAGCGCUGGCACAUUCCCUGCGAGCUGCUAACCCAGCCCGUAAGCUCCAAACUUCACCCCUAAGCGUGGCGCCUGCUUCGCUUUCUGUUUUGGCAGCAGCCCCUUCUUUCUGCGCACAACGCACGCGGGGGCCAAGCCUCCGCCUGCCAGCCUCGCCAAGCAGCUCGCAAGGCAACGCUCCCCACAGGCCGAAGACAAAAGGAUUUACGAGCGAGCUGACAAGGGAAGUGUCAGGAUAUCAUUAGCUCGGCUGCUUGAAACACUGCAGCAUUUGCAAACUCUCCCAUUCGCUGGGUCCUUCCAG